CCCGUCCGCACCGCGGCCCGCUCACCUGCACCUGUUUGCGGAAGUGGCGCGGCCCCGGCAUAACCGACGACCAGGCGCAAAAGCACCAGCAGCAGCAAUGCAGGUGGCCCCGGCAUCUCGUCCACGGUGCAGCCCCUCUGGGCGGUUCUCGGGUCGUCUUCCGUGGGUCCGUCCGUCUGCCAGUCGGUCCUGCCUCAGCGGCACCCGCGCCGGCUGCCCCUAAGCACGCGUUGCUUCGGCCCAAAUUCAACUCGGCUCCUGGUCCGCACCCGCCGCUCCGGCUGCAGAAGCAUCAUCCUUUCCGCCUGCCUGCGCCGCCGCUGCCGCAGCCUCUCAACAGCAGCAACAGCAGUGACCCUGCGGAGCCGCGGGCCCCGGCAGCUGCGCUCCCGACGCCAUAAUGGGCUGCGUCAUGUGACGUAGCGCGGGGGCGGAACUCCGUGAUGGACAGAUGGGCAGCCAAUCGUCAAUCCGGACCGGUCCCGGAGGCCCAGCCCAUCUUUCUGGAGGAGGACAGGGGAGCGCCGGGGCGCCCCCUGCAGACAGAGGAGUGCGUGGGCAGCAGAUGAGAAUACAGAAACAGAGACGUUAAGUACCUUGACCCAGGUCACACCACUAGGAAGUGGCAGAAAUAGGAUCCAAAUUCAGGCAGCCUGGCUCCAGAGUUCUUGCUGAGGAGCCGGACAUCAAGAAGCAAAGACAAAGCAGAGUGUGGUGGCACAUCCAUGUAGCCCCAGGACUCAGGAGCUGAGGCAAGAGGAUCACUUGAGCCUGAGAAUCCCUUUCCAGUCCGAGCAACAUAGCAGACUCCAUUUCCAAACAAAAACAAGGACAUCAAGCAACCAAGAAAGAAAGACGAGGGGUGGAGGGAAG
rnacentral:lncRNA from 1 species